UACGUAGGGGGCUAGCGUUGUCCGGAAUCAUUGGGCGUGAAGAGCGCGUAGGCGGCCAGAUAAGUCCGGUGUGAAAGUCACAGGCUCAACCUGUGAAUGCCGCUGGAAACUGUAUGGCUAGAGUCCGGAAGGGGCGAGUGGAAUUCCUGGUGUAGCGGUGAAAUGCGCAGAUAUCAGGAGGAACACCGAUUGCGAAGGCAGCUCGCUGGGACGUAACUGACGCUGAGACGCGAAAGCGAGGGUAGCAAACGGG
rnacentral:rRNA from 1 species